AUUACAAUGGUUUUUUAACAAAAACUAAUACUUCAUUUGAUUUUGUCUGGCCGUGCAAAAUAGAAAAAGACAUGUAAUUAGUUGUGAUUUUCUUUCAUUAUAUUUUUAAGAACAUUAAAUGAGAUUCAACCGUGAGAUUAAAAUGGACGAAGCCAAGAUUCGAGGCAAGGCGUGAGGGAAAGGAGCUGGGUCGAGGUCGAGGUUGGGGGGGGGGGGGGGGGUUUGAUGAUUUGGUGGAAAACGGAGAGAAGAUUCGUUCCUGGGAAAAGUGAAACUCUGGUCAGAAACAGGAUGUGAUAAGAAGAAGAAGAAGAUGUUGUGGACAUGGGAUGAUAAGUUGGAUGUGAAGUUGAAACAAGAGCAAUGGAACGAAGAGAAGCAGGAGACCAGUAACGAGAAGAAAAAGAGCAAGAAGAAGAUGGAGAGAUUGGCUUUGAGGAGAGGAAGAGCAAAAUCAAAAGGAGAAUUAAGGUUAAAGUUGGCUACUUCUAGUGGAGUUUUCAAAGUUUUGGGUAGCAAACGAUUGUCCAUUAGUGACAGUUCAUAUAAUAUGAAAGAUUUGAUUGUGGGAACUCUCUGUUAUAGUUUUCAUCAUCUGUUUUGGUAGUCUGAUAUUGCCCUUUUUACUGUUACUCUGGUUGGAUGAUUAUUGAAUGCAAAGUUGCAACCUUCAACUAAUGUUUAGACUUUGGAUCUUGAAGAUGAGCACUUGAAAAGUGUUGGCAUUUGCUCUAAGUUUAGCGAAUUGAAAUUGUGGAAUAAACUAGAAAUGUUUGAUACAAACUCAAUUUUGUUUAGGCACUUGAAAGUAUGAUGCUUGAAUGCGUAGUCCUUUUUAACUAAAACUUUCCCAAGUACAGCUGAUCCUCACAGACAUUCUGGACGAAAUAGGACUUCGAUUAGGAUAUCAACAUUUCGGUAAAUAAUUUUGGUGGAGGGAGAAGUUUCUUUUCAGUCUUAUGUCCAUCUAACAAAGGCGGGUAUCUCCAUCUGAUUCAAACUGUUUGUAUGUUAUCUUCAACAGUUAGUUGUUACAGAGAUUGUGAUAAUAACUACAGAAGGAAUUGACCUCAUGUCAAACUGAUAAUUGGCCGGGAGAAAAAACAUGCUUGAAGCUUGGAAGAAAGAAGAGACAGGAAACAAAAAGAAUAAAAGACUUGAUGACAUGCUUAUCAGCAUUUGGGCAAGUCCGCAGGAGGAGGAAGAAGUUUCUGAUCAGGCUUAUCUCCAUCCAGAACAAGCCAAGCCAUCCUCAAACCCCAACUGGUAUGUACUUCCAAGUGACAGUGCAUGAACCACACUCCUGUCAAACAUUUUGGUUAUCUGCAAGGAAUCGAAUAGCAGCCCAUCCGCCAGAAGGCACACCGACUGUGUUCCUCUCAAUCGGGUCAACAAGGUUGAAGUUCUUAGGAUCCUUGUUCGGGUCGAAGUUCCCAAACCCCUGGCCGACGACAAAGAAGUUGAAGCCGUGAAGGUGAAGAGGAUGGCUCUCCGCACCAAGGAUGCUAGUGUCCUGCAUCACCAGCUCCACGCUGGUGUUAUAACG